rnacentral:rRNA from 1 species
UCCGUAGGCGGGCUAAUAAGUCAGGGGUGAAAUCCCACAGCUUAACUGUGGAACUGCCUUUGAUACUGUUAGUCUUGAGUUAUAUGGAAGUAGAUAGAAUGUGUAGUGUAGCGGUGAAAUGCAUAGAUAUUACACAGAAUACCGAUUGCGAAGGCAGUCUACUACGUAUAUACUGACGCUAAUGGACGAAAGCGUGGGGAGCGAACAGGAUUAAUACCUGGUAGUCC